AUUAACUGAAACAAAAAUAAACUGAAACAAAAAUAAAACUGAAAGAGAAAUAAACUGAAAGCAAAUAUAACUGAAAGAGAAAUAAACUGAAACGAGAUAAAAUUGAAAGCAAAAAUAACUGAAACGAGAUAAAACUGAAACGAGAUAAAACUGAAAGAGAAAUAAACGGAAAGCAAAAUAAACUGAAACGAGAUAUAACGAGAUAAAACUGAAAGAGAAAUAAACGGAAAGCAAAAUAA
rnacentral:lncRNA from 1 species